rnacentral:rRNA from 1 species
UUGACCUCGGAUCAGGUAGGGAUACCCGCUGAACUUAAGCAUAUCAAUAAGCGGAGGAAAAGAAACCAACAGGGAUUGCCCUAGUAACGGCGAGUGAAGCGGCAACAGCUCAAAUUUGAAAUCUGGCUCCUUUGGGGUCCGAGUUGUAAUUUGCAGAGGGAGCUUUUGGCGUCGGUCGUGGUCUAAGUUCCUUGGAACAGGACGUCACAGAGGGUGAGAAUCCCGUACGUGGCCGCCGGCCUUCGCCUUGUAAAGCCCCUUCGACGAGUCGAGUUGUUUGGGAAUGCAGCUCUAAAUGGGAGGUAAAUUUCUUCUAAAGCUAAAUACCCGCCAGAGACCGAUAGCGCACAAGUAGAGUGAUCGAAAGAUGAAAAGCACUUUGGAAAGAGAGUGAAAAAGCACGUGAAAUUGUUGAAAGGGAAGCGCUUGCGGCCAGACGUGCCCGCGGUUGAUCAUCCAGGCUCCAGCCUGGUGCACUCCUCCGCGGGCAGGCCAGCAUCAGUUCGGGCGGUCGGAUAAAGGCCUCUAUCACGUACCACCCCUCGGGGUGGCCUUAUAGGGGAGGCGCAACACGGCCAGCC